GGAGUUGGAUGGAUCAAACCUGCUAGCCAGAUGGUAAGAGGCGCUGUGCUACGAAGUUCUGUGACAUCGAGACGGCCAUACUACUGGGGGUUAGUGGUCAAGGCAAGCAGUGUGCAUUGGCUAAUAUCUGAUCUGAGUUGUCAUGGUCACCGUGGGCUCACAGCCAGGGGAAGUGAUGGAAUGAGGUCGCAAUCACUGAAUCCAAGGAGGGGUCUGCAUGGUCCACCUUUCAGCAGUGCACUCUCAACACUUUUCCUGGAGCAAUUGAACACAUAUGGGAGAUUGCUCAUCUUGACUGAGUCUUGGAAGGUGUCCCUAGUUCUCAUGAUGGCAGCAGAAAGAAUGGAGAGAUGAAGAGGCCAGAUUUCCCUUCAAGAAUUGAGGCCAUGUUUAAUAUUGCAGCAAUGGAAUCUUUAGAAGAGAACAUGAGCUCUUUGGUGUGAUUUCAAAUCUGCUUUUUGGCAACAAAUCCACAUGCAAUGCUAAUCGAGCUCCAGAGCUGCCUGCGCUGGAUGACACAGCAGAAAGUGAAAGAGCUGACGGGCAAGUAAGAGCAAGAGGGAACUGGCCUUUCCAAUCCAUUUCUCCACUAGGAGAAGGCACAGAAACACAAGGUUCCUGAGAAUCUCUCGCCAGAGUAUAAUUUUCAUUAAUCGCAGUGUAAUUAUAUAAUCACUUAAGCAAAUGCUGCUUGAAUCCUCUCAGUGCACUGAUAUUUAGAGAGUGCCGACGAGAUGCCAAUGCAAAUAUAUUCAACUCUGGUACAUGCAUUCUGAUGCUGUGGAAGCAUGGCCUGCCCCAUCACAAUGUCAGUGGGCAGCCACAGAACAAAUUCCACUCCUAGUUACUUUCUGCUGGGAGUCUUGAUUACUGGGAGGCCCACUGGGAAGGUGCAUAUGUUUGUGAUUUGGGGUGUGAUGGGAGACAGCACCAUCUACAUGAUAGGUCACAGGGCUAGUAGCCAGAAGUAGAGCUGAUCAAAAACGGUUUUUAUCUUCCACACACAAAAAAUGGAAGAAAAUAAACAUUGAAUGUUUUGGUUUUCAAUUCUUUUGUGAAAACUUUCAACAAAUUCUCACAAAUUUUUGUGUCCGGUCAAAAGCCAUUUUUCAUCAGAAAAAAAGUUUAAAUAAUUUUUUUUGAGAGGCUCAUCUAGUCAAGUCUGAGCUCUGUUCCCAGUUUUGGUGCUCAUUUGAGUUGACUUUGCUGUUCUGUGGUUUUCCCUAUCUAUCAAAUGGGUUCAAUAUAGUGUAGUGUUCUAGUCCCAGCCCUGCCAUUUUCCGGUUGUAUGAUUUUUUUUUGUCACGUUACUUCAGUCCUCUUCACCUUUAUUUUCCCUUCCAUCCUUUAUUCAUCUUGUCUACAUAAAUUCUAAGUGAUUUGGUGCAGUGACUGACUCUUGCUAUUUGUAUAUUGUAGCCUGGUUAGGUUGGGUCCUCUAGAUGCUACUCAUAAUAAUAAUAAAGUGUUAUUAUUUGUAAUAACUUAUCUGUAGCCUUUUUACAUGGGAGCUGAAAUAUGGUGGACCCUUGGAUCCUGGCACUUAUUUAAUUCCAGUAGCUCUUUACACAUGCAAAGCAUCUAUCAUGCCAUGCCUCAUGCAACUUCAGUGAUGCCACCAUUGCUUUUCAAGGUCCAGUUUAAACUAUCCAUCUUUGACUUGCUCUAGCUGUCUCACAUAUCUUGUGUGAAAUCAUGGCCCCAUUGAAGUCAAUGAGAGUUUUGCCAUGGACUUCAAAGGAGCUAGGAUUUCACCCCUUGCGUUUUUCUGCCCACCUCCCUGCUCAUUCUGCUUAACCUGGACUGGCCUUCUUGCUUCAUCUGUCCCCAGCCAUACUGCUUUGGUUCCUACUGCAGCUUGCUCUCUCUGGUAGGGGCUUUCUCUAGUUCUCUGUCUCAUCAGCUCUCCAUCUCAGUUCAAGUCCCAUCU